rnacentral:rRNA from 1 species
ACUCAAAGGAAUUGACGGGCACCCGCACAAGCGGUGGAGCAUGCUGUUUAAUUCGAAGAUACGCGAAGAACCUUACCUGGGCUUGACAUCCCCUGCGAAACUCUAGAGAUAGAGCGGAGGUUAUCAGGGUGACAGGUGGUGCAUGGUUGUCGUCAGCUCGUGUCGUGAGAUGUUGGGUUAAGUCCCGCAACGAGCGCAACCCUUGUCCUUAGUUGCUAACAUUAAGUUGAGAACUUUAAGGAGACUGCCGGUGAUAAACCGGAGGAAGGUGAGGAUGACGUCAAAUCAUCAUGCCCCUUACGUCCAGGGCUACAGGCGUGCUACAAUGGCUGGUAUAAUGAGACGCAAGACCGCGAGGUGGAGCAAAUCUAUAAAGCCAGUCUCAGUUCGGAUUGGAGUCUGCAACUCGACUCCAUGAAGUUGGAAUCGCUAGUAAUCCCAGAUCAGAAUGCUGGGGUGAAUACGUUCCCGGGUGUUGUACACACCGCCCGU